rnacentral:lncRNA from 1 species
GAGAGACUUCCAGAAAGAGGGUCUGGGGAGAGGCUUCCAGAAAGAGGGUCUGGGGAGAGACUUCCAGAAAGAGGGGCUGCGGAGAACUCUGCAGCCUUCCUCCUCUCACAGCAGCAGGAACAGGACUAUACUGAGCAAAUGUUUCCCAAGGUGAAGGUUCCCAAGUUUGCAACCCUUCAGCCUAGUUUUCUGAAGAACUUGAAGACGGUGAUGCCAACUUUGGGAGUUGAGGAGAUACCCGAGAAGAGUAAGAGAGCAGAGAUGACUGUGAGGAUGCUGAGACACAUGCACAGCCUGUCCCUUACCAACAUGGCUGUCUCUCAGAGACGCAGUAUGUAUUUCCGAGUGUUCACUCUAACGAAGAGAAGAAGAGGUGUGCUGGGAACCUUCCUCCUCUCCUUCCUCUCCCUCCUCCUCCUCUGUCCUACCAGGAAUGGGAUAGGAUCAACCCAGAGGAUUCAGAGGUCCCUAGCCUGGGCCUGGAAGGGCUUGGGCUGAGGACC